rnacentral:rRNA from 1 species
GGAAUCUUCCACAAUGGACGAAAGUCUGAUGGAGCAACGCCGCGUGAGUGAAGAAGGUUUUCGGAUCGUAAAGCUCUGUUGUUGGUGGAGAAGGAUAGAGGCAGUAACUGGUCUUUAUUUGACGGUAAUCAACCAGAAAGUCACGGCUAACUACGUGCCAG